GAUGAACGCUAGCUACAGGCUUAACACAUGCAAGUCGAGGGGAAACGGCAUUGAGUGCUUGCACUCUUUGGACGUCGACCGGCGCACGGGUGAGUAACGCGUAUCCAACCUUCCCAUUACUGUGGGAUAACCUGCCGAAAGGCAGACUAAUACCGCAUAGUCUUCGAUGACGGCAUCAGAUUUGAAGUAAAGAUUUAUCGGUAAUGGAUGGGGAUGCGUCUGAUUAGCUUGUCGGCGGGGUAACGGCCCACCAAGGCGACGAUCAGUAGGGGUUCUGAGAGGAAGGUCCCCCACAUUGGAACUGAGACACGGUCCAAACUCCUACGGGAGGCAGCAGUGAGGAAUAUUGGUCAAUGGACGGAAGUCUGAACCAGCCAAGUAGCGUGCAGGAUGACGGCCCUAUGGGUUGUAAACUGCUUUUGUAUGGGGAUAAAGUUAGGGACGUGUCCCUAUUUGCAGGUACCAUA
rnacentral:rRNA from 1 species